UACGAAGGGGGCUAGCGUUGCUCGGAAUCACUGGGCGUAAAGGGUGCGUAGGCGGGUCGUUAAGUCAGAGGUGAAAUCCCAAGGCUCAACCUUGGAACUGCCUUUGAUACUGGGGAUCUCGAGUCCGGGAGAGGUGAGUGGAACUGCGAGUGUAGAGGUGAAAUUCGUAGAUAUUCGCAAGAACACCAGUGGCGAAGGCGGCUCACUGGCCCGGUACUGACGCUGAGGUGCGAAAGCGUGGGGAGCAAACAGG
rnacentral:rRNA from 1 species